AGAGUUUGAUCCUGGCUCAGGAUGAACGCUGGCGGCAUGCCUAAUACAUGCAAGUCGAACGAGAGGAAGGAAAGCUUGCUUUUCUGAAUCUAGUGGCGAACGGGUGAGUAACACGUAGGUAACCUGCCCAUGUGCCCGGGAUAACUUCUGGAAACGGAUGCUAAAACCGGAUAGGUAGCAGACAAGCAUUUGACUGCUAUUAAAGUGGCUUUGGCCAUGAACAUGGAUGGACCUGCGGUGCAUUAGCUGGUUGGUGAGGUAACGGCCCACCAAGGCGACGAUGCAUAGCCGGCCUGAGAGGGCGGACGGCCACAUUGGGACUGAGACACGGCCCAAACUCCUACGGGAGGCAGCAGUAGGGAAUUUUCGUCAAUGGGGGGAACCCUGAACGAGCAAUGCCGCGUGAGUGAGGAAGGUCUUCGGAUCGUAAAGCUCUGUUGUAAGAGAAAAACGGCACUCAUAGGGAAUGAUGAGUGAGUGAUGGUAUCUUACCAGAAAGUCACGGCUAACUACGUGCCAGCAGCCGCGGUAAUACGUAGGUGGCGAGCGUUAUCCGGAAUGAUUGGGCGUAAAGGGUGCGUAGGUGGCAGAUCAAGUCUGGAGUAAAAGGUAUGGGCUCAACCCGUACUGGCUCUGGAAACUGAUCAGCUAGAGAACAGAAGAGGACGGCGGAACUCCAUGUGUAGCGGUAAAAUGCGUAGAUAUAUGGAAGAACACCGGUGGCGAAGGCGGCCGUCUGGUCUGGAUUCUGACACUGAAGCACGAAAGCGUGGGGAGCAAAUAGGAUUAGAUACCCUAGUAGUCCACGCCGUAAACGAUGAGAACUAGGUGUUGGGGGAAUAACUCAGUGCCGCAGUUAACGCAGUAAGUUCUCCGCCUGGGGAGUAUGCACGCAAGUGUGAAACUCAAAGGAAUUGACGGGGGCCCGCACAAGCGGUGGAGUAUGUGGUUUAA
rnacentral:rRNA from 1 species